GUGUCAGCAGCCGCGGUAAUACGUAGGGACCAAGCGUUGUUCGGAUUUACUGGGCGUAAAGGGCGCGUAGGCGGCUCUGUAAGUCACUUGUGAAAUCUCUGAGCUUAACUCAGAACGGCCAAGUGAUACUGCAGAGCUAGAGUGUAGAAGGGGCAAUCGGAAUUCUUGGUGUAGCGGUGAAAUGCGUAGAUAUCAAGAGGAACACCUGAGGUGAAGACGGGUUGCUGGUCUAACACUGACGCUGAGGCGCGAAAGCCAGGGGAGCAAACGGGAUUAGAUACCCCCGUAGUCC
rnacentral:rRNA from 1 species